UACGACCAUAUCAUGUUGAAACAUUGGUUUCCGUACGAUCACUGACGAUAAGCAACGUCGAGCCUGGUCAGUACCUAGAUGGGUAACCGCUUGGGAAUACCAGGUGCAGUAAG